rnacentral:rRNA from 1 species
UACGUAGGGGGCUAGCGUUGUCCGGAAUCAUUGGGCGUAAAGCGCGUGUAGGCGGUUCGGUAAGUCCGCUGUGAAAGUCGGGGGCUCAACCCUCGGAUGCCGGUGGAUACUGUCGAGCUUGAGUACGGAAGAGGCGAGUGGAAUUCCUGGUGUAGCGGUGAAAUGCGCAGAUAUCAGGAGGAACACCAAUGGCGAAGGCAGCUCUCUGGGACGGUACUGACGCUGAGACGCGAAAGCGUGGGGAGCGAACAGG